rnacentral:rRNA from 1 species
UACGGGGGGAGCAAGCGUUGUUCGGAUUUACUGGGCGUAAAGGGCGCGUAGGCGGCCACCGCAAGUCGACUGUGAAAUCUCCGGGCUUAACUCGGAAAGGUCAGCCGAUACUGCGGGGCUAGAGUGCAGAAGGGGCAACUGGAAUUCUUGGUGUAGCGGUGAAAUGCGUAGAUAUCAGGAGGAACACCGGUGGCGAAGGCGGCCCUCUGGACGGUGACUGACGCUGAGACGCGAAAGCGUGGGGAGCAAACAGG